rnacentral:rRNA from 1 species
CAAUAGCGUAUAUUUAAGUUGUUGCAGUUAAAAAGCUCGUAGUUGGAUUUCGGGUGUGAACGACCGGUCCGUCUUUGGUGUGUACUGGUUGGUCGCGCCUUAUUGUCGAGGACGUGGUUCUAGCUUUCAUUAGCCGGGACACGGAGUCGGCAGCGUUACUUUGAGAAAAUUAGAGUGUUCAAAGCAGGCUAUCGCUCUGAAUACUACAGCAUGGAAUAACACGAUAGGACUCCGAGCCUAUUCUGUUGGUCUUCGGGACCGGAGUAAUGAUCAAGAGGGACAGUUGGGGGCAUUCGUAUUCCGAUGUCAGAGGUGAAAUUCUUGGAUUAUCGGAAGACGAGCAUCUGCGAAAGCAUUUGCCAAGGAUGUUUUCAUUAA